rnacentral:rRNA from 5 species
UGACCUCAAAUCGGGUGAGACUACCCGCUGAACUUAAGCAUAUCAAU